UUGAAUACAUAGCAGGAGAGAAAACGUGAUCACAAAGGUGAUUUUCCAGGGUCAGUAUUAUCCAUUGCACUAGAGAUGUGCUGACCCCUGACAUUUCUUCAAAUGUGGGAAACUUGACUGCAUGAUUUCUGGUAGUGGGGACCUAUCUUCAUUCUCUCCCCU
ensembl:snRNA U1 U1 spliceosomal RNA